AUCUAAAUAGUUUAUAAAAAUAGUGAUUUGUGGAGUCAAAGAUAUACUUAUGUUAUUUUAGAUA
rnacentral:tRNA from 1 species